GGGCCCGCACAAGCGGUGGAGCAUGUGGUUUAAUUCGACGCAACGCGAAGAACCUUACCCAGACUUGACAUGCACUAGACUGGUGUGGAAACACACCUUCCCUUCGGGGCUGGUGCACAGGUGCUGCAUGGCUGUCGUCAGCUCGUGUCGUGAGAUGUUGGGUUAAGUCCCGCAACGAGCGCAACCCUUGUUCUUAGUUGCUAACGGGUAAUGCUGAGCACUCUAAGGAGACUGCCGGUGAUAAACCGGAGGAAGGUGGGGAUGACGUCAAGUCCUCAUGGCCCUUACGUCUGGGGCUACACACGUGCUACAAUGGCCGGUACAGAGGGUUCCGAAACCGCGAGGUGGAGGCAAUCCCAAAAAACCGGUCUCAGUUCGGAUUGCAGUCUGCAACUCGACUGCAUGAAGUCGGAAUCGCUAGUAAUCGCUGAUCAGCAGGCAGCGGUGAAUACGUUCCCGGGCCUU
rnacentral:rRNA from 1 species